rnacentral:rRNA from 1 species
AUUGAACGCUAGCGGGAUGCCUUACACAUGCAAGUCGAACGGAGUGGCGAACGGGUGAGUAAUGUAUCGGAACGUGCCCAGUAGCGGGGGAUAACUACGCGAAAGCGUAGCUAAUACCGCAUACUAUUGGAGCGGCCGAUAUCGGAUGAGCUAGUUGGUGGGGUAACGGCUCACCACGGCGACGAUCCGUAGCUGGUUUGCGAGGACGACCAGCCACACUGGGACUGUGACACGGCGCAGACUCCUACGGGAGGCAGCAGUGGGGAAGUUUGGGCAGUUGGGGAAACCCUGGUGCAGCCAUCCCGGGUGUGCGAUGAGGGCCUGCGGGUUGUAAAGCACGUUUGGCAGGAAAGCGGUACCUGCAGAAUAAGCACCGGCUAUCUACGUGCCAGCAGCCGCGGUAAUAC